UACGUAGGGGGCAAGCGUUGUCCGGAAUCAUUGGGCGUAAAGAGCUCGUAGGCGGCUUAGAAAGUCAGGUGUGAAACCUCCAGGCUCAACCUGGAGACGCCACUUGAUACUUCUAUGGCUUGAGUUCGGUAGGGGAACACGGAAUUCCUGGUGUAGCGGUGAAAUGCACAGAUAUCAGGAGGAACACCGAUGGCGAAGGCAGUGUUCUGGGCCGAUACUGACGCUGAGGAGCGAAAGCGUGGGGAGCGAACAGG
rnacentral:rRNA from 1 species